UUCUUUAUCAGAUUUUUGAGGCGUUUGGUCCUGUUGAGGUUGUUCAGCUACCAGUUGACGCUGAAACUAAGCAGUGCAAAGGUUUUGGCUUUAUUCAGUUUGCCCAUCUUGAACAUUCAAAGGCAGCCCAAAUUGCCUUAAAUGGAAAGCUGGAGAUUUCUGGUAG